rnacentral:SRP_RNA from 1 species
GUCACCCACCAUUCAUCAUGUGCGCCUUCAAGAUCUGACGCCUUCCACUACCUACUACUACGCCUGCGGGUCAGAGAAAACAAGGACGUUUUCUU